ACCAAGGCUGUAUAACCUUAGCCUUUAUUUUGGAGACAAGGUCUCACUAGAUAGAAACAUGCUAGACUUGAACUCACUGUGUUGCCCAGACUGGCCUCAGACCUGGAAUCCUCCUGCCUCAGCGUGUUGAGUAUCAGAGAUUACAGGUAUGUGCCACCGGGCCUGGGUUAGCAUCUUGGCUUAUAAAAUGGCAGUGUCCUGGAGCCAGAGAGAUGCUAGUAGGGUAGAGUCUGACGAUCUGAGUUCAACCCCUGGCACCCAUGUGACAGUAGAAGGGCAGCACCCCAUGUGCAUCCUCACCUCACACACCCCAUGUGCACCCUCACACACCCCAUGUGCACCCUCACACACCUCAUGUGCACCCUCACACACCCCAUGUGCAUCCUCACCUCACACACCCCAUGUGCACCCUCACCUCACACACCCCAUGUGCACCCUCACACACCUCAUGUGCACCCUCACACACCCCAUGUGCACCCUCACCUCACACACCCCAUAUGCACCCUCACACAUCCCCUAUGCACCCUCACACACCUCAUGUGCACCCUCACCUCACACACCCCAUUUGCACCCUCACACAUCCCCUAUGCACCCUCACACACCUCAUAUGCACCCUCACCUCACACACCCCAUGUGCACCCUCAUACAUCCUAAUAGUUAAAUCAAAAAAAAUUAAGGCAAUGUAUCUUACUGAAAAUAUUUCAGUUACUAAAAUGACCAGGUUACUUAAAGACCACCAAAUCUCUGUCCCCCUUUCUCCUAACCCAGCUUUCAAAAACACAGAGUUGGGUGUGGUGACACAUGUCACCCUAGUACAGGAGCCUGAGGCAGGAGGAUCAGGAACUUGAGGCCAGCUUGGACUAUAAAACGAAGUCAUUUCAAAACAGAGAGAGGCAAAGCAAAAGAAAGGGUCAGACCCAGACUGCAGAUCUGGUGCCUUUGUGGACUUCUCAGUCAAAUAGCUGUAUUGCAGGAAUCUGAAAUUUAUUAAAUAUUGACGUAACUCUCAACGAAGUUUUAAAUUUUUGUAAGAUUUUGGACUUCAGGCUAGGGAUGCUCUCUCUCUUUCCCUCCCUUCCUCUCUCUUCCAGGGUCUCACCAUUUAGCCCAAGCCAAAUGGCACUGCUCUUGCCUCAGCCUCGGGAGUGCUGCUGGUUUCGGGUUGCCCGGCCACCCCCAGCUAAGACUUUGCAUCUUAGUUUUUCCUUGCAGUGCUGUGCCAGCGAUUUCUUUUCCUGUGGUGCAGAGUCAACUGCAGGGUGCAGAUUGUGUCUGCUUGUUUGUGCGCAUGCUCUGGCCUCCCUCCCUCCCUCGAUCACUCACCCUCUCAUCCCUUGGGUGCUCGGACCUCUGCUUGGGGUCUUGGCAGAGUCCCAGCUGCUCGGCUUCAGCCAGGGAAGAGUUCCUACACGAGACAGCCUGGGAAAGGAAGAAGCAGGCAGUCUGGAUCUAAGACACCAGCGUGCUCCGCUGAGACACCAAUUCCAAUGGCGAAGUGCAAGGGCUCGUGUCCCUGCGAGGCAGCCCCUGAACUGAUGCCAGCAGCAGCCUCAGUCCAGAUGCAGAUACCUCACCUCCAUUAGCUCCCAGACCCUGCGGCUCACACACAGAUCUCUGGGAAGCUCUGCAAAGCCCAACAGUAUAGGCCCAUGAGAAUAUCCCAGGGACUUUUCAGAUAACACAUGCACAGCUGCCGUUGGGUAAUGAGGGUCUCUGAGGCCCAGGCAACUUGCAGCAUACACAGCACCGUUCUCAAGGGCAGACAUAGAGGGCACAUAGUGGCACAUGCCUAUAAUUCCAGCACUCCAGAGGCUGAGAUGGGAGAAUUACUGAAAAGCCUGAGGACAAUCAGGGCUACAUAAUAAAAAACAAAACC
rnacentral:lncRNA from 1 species